rnacentral:ncRNA from 1 species
ACAGUACAAACUGAGCAGACCAUUGGCAUAAUCCAAGGAGUCGGGCCAUCAUGGCAGUGGAAUAUGAAUCGGAAUGAUAACUUGGUAUCAUGAGUUAUGAUCAGGAAUCAUUACAUCCACGGGACAGU